UGGGGAAUAUUGCACAAUGGGCGCAAGCCUGAUGCAGCCAUGCCGCGUGUAUGAAGAAGGCCUUCGGGUUGUAAAGUACUUUCAGUCGGGAGGAAGGUGGUAAGGUUAAUAACCUUAUCAAUUGACGUUACCGACAGAAGAAGCACCGGCUAACUCCGUGCCAGCAGCCGCGGUAAUACGGAGGGUGCAAGCGUUAAUCGGAAUUACUGUGCGUAAAGCGCACGCAGGCGGUUGAUUGAGUCAGAUGUGAAAUCCCCGGGCUUAACCAGGGAAUUGCAUCUGAUACUGGUCAGCUAGAGUCUUGUAGAGGGGGGUAGAAUUCCAUGUGUAGCGGUGAAAUGCGUAGAGAUGUGGAGGAAUACCGGUGGCGAAGGCGGCCCCCUGGACAAAGACUGACGCUCAGGUGCGAAAGCGUGGGGAGCAAACAGG
rnacentral:rRNA from 1 species